rnacentral:rRNA from 1 species
AUUGAACGCUGGCGGCAUGCCUUACACAUGCAAGUCGAACGGUAACGGGCCUUCGGGUGCCGACGAGUGGCGAACGGGUGAGUAAUGCAUCGGAACGUACCUUUCAGUGGGGGAUAACGUAGCGAAAGUUACGCUAAUACCGCAUAUUCUGUGAGCAGGAAAGCAGGGGAUCGCAAGACCUUGCGCUGAUUGAGCGGCCGAUGUCAGAUUAGCUAGUUGGUGAGGUAAAGGCUCACCAAGGCGACGAUCUGUAGCGGGUCUGAGAGGAUGAUCCGCCACACUGGAACUGAGACACGGUCCAGAAUCCUACGGGAGGCAGCAGUGGGGAAUUUUGGACAAUGGGGGCAACCCUGAUCCAGCCAUGCCGCGUGAGUGAAGAAGGCCUUCGGGUUGUAAAGCUCUUUCGGUCGGGAAGAAAUCGCAUGGGUUGAUACCCUGUGCGGAUGACGGUACCGGCAUAAGAAGCACCGGCUAACUACGUGCCAGCCGCCGCCGUAAUAC